UACGUAGGGUGCAAGCAUUAAUCGGAUUUAUUGGGCGUAAAGGGCGCGUAGGCGGGAAUGCCAGUCAGAUGUGAAAUCCCGGGGCUCAACCCCGGAACAGCAUUUGAAACUACAUUUCUAGAGGGUAGGCGGAGAAAACGGAAUUCCACAAGUAGCGGUGAAAUGCGUAGAUAUGUGGAAGAACACCAGUGGCGAAGGCGGUUUUCUAGCUUAUACCUGACGCUGAGGCGCGAAAGCAAGGGGAGCAAACAGG
rnacentral:rRNA from 2 species